UAUCAUUUAUUUAUUAUGUUUUUGAGUUACUAAUUUUUUUGAACUGUAUCUAUGUUCUCUCUUGAACUUAAGUUCUGCAGGACAGCAAGGACCAUUUUCCAUCUUCCCAGCACUAGUAAAGUGCUGUCUAUACCAAGUGUUAAGGGAGUAUUUUUUUUCCAAAAAAGAAGUCUAGGAUUUUUCCAGUUUAUGUUCCUUUUCUCAAGUUUCAUUGGGAAAUAGGGGUGGAGGCGUAUGCUCAUUGUUAUGGGCAGGAAGGAUAUCCUUGGGGUUCAGGAAGGAUACCUUUUGCAAGCAUGCAAGACUCAAAAACUUAGCUUGAAAACAAAAAAGAGAUUUAUUAAUUUAGAAAGUAAUGUUGAGAGUGGCCAGGAGGAUAGCAAGAUAGAACAGCAAGAUGAGGAGCAGUUCUUUGGGAGGACAGCAUGAAAGGAAAGGCUAUUCCGUCCAGAUAACAUCAGUUCAGGGGAUUUUAUACUUUUUACAAUAGAGUUAGUCACUCAGGCAUGAGGUGGGGUGAUCAUACUGGGUUCUGCCUGGGGGAAUAAAGAUUCCUUAGUUUUAGGGAACAAACAGAUGUCUGAUAGGAUCGAGGUGUGGCUUGAAGGUGCAUCUUUUUGUCCAUCUAGAGGAUGAUCAAAGGAUGAUAGUCAUCUUAGGACCCUAGAGGGGUCAUUGGGUCAGAGUCACAAGGAUGCAAGGGCAAGAGAAUUUCCCUGAUAAUAGUUGGCCUGCGUUUCUGGGGUACAGUGCCCAUGUCAUCUCCCCCCUUCCUAAUAUGUAAGAGAGAGAGAGGUAUUGACUGUAGGCUGUGGCCAGAGUGUCAGGCUGGGAUGGUUGCCGAGGUUAUGGUGGAAUCCAGCAUCUGGGUGACUCCCAUGAGUGCUUUUACCCUAGAAGCAACUAGAGAGAUGACAAGGUUAAAAAUACAAGGUCCACAUAUCCCACAACAGGGGAGUAGCCAAAACUGGAGUGGUUGCUAAUCUCCUCAAAGCCUCAGGUCUUGGAUACACCUCAGAAGCACUGAGACCUUGGGCUAGAGGCCUGGGGUUCCCUCCACUUUGGGGGUGCUUCAUACAGACCCAACAGUUAGAGGGACCUACUUUGGCUACUGGUUCCCCAAGCUGAAUCAGAGAAUUAUAUGUCCGGCUGGCUUGGUAUGUACAAUUUAAAAUACCAAAAAGGACAAAGAAUGUAAGGAAAGAGAUAAUCAUGGCUAGAACAAGAGAGAUUUAAGAUAACA
rnacentral:lncRNA from 1 species